UACGGGGGGGGCAAGCGUUGUUCGGAAUUACUGGGCGUAAAGGGCUCGUAGGCGGCCAACUAAGUCAGACGUGAAAACCCCCGGCUUAACCAGGGAACUGCGUCUGAUACUGGAUGGCUUGAGUUUGGGAGAGGGAUGCGGAAUUCCAGGUGUAGCGGUGAAAUGCGUAGAUAUCUGGAGGAACACCGGUGGCGAAGGCGACAUCCUGGACCAAUACUGACGCUGAUGCACGAAAGCUAGGGGAGCAAACAGG
rnacentral:rRNA from 1 species